ensembl:lncRNA
CUUGCAGAUUUGCUUGGUUAGCUGAUCAUGCUUUCUUCAGCAGACCUAUCUGCUUAAUGCAACAGCUCAAUAACGCAGCAUUAAUUAUAAUUAGCAAAUUGCUUGUACACCUACAGCUCUAUCAUAUUGUUGCUGUAGCCAGGGUUAGGAAAUUGUCUGAAGAAAAUAAAUUUGAAGCAACUCAAGCACAGGUAAAUAGCCUGUUAUUAUCCAUGAACCAUUGUCAUUAUGGUCAUUUCUGAAAAAUCAUGUGUUUCCCAUGGUUCAUUAAAUCUGUUUUACUGCCUGGAUAAAUGAGCUACUUUGAGGUGUCAGCAACAACCCCAAGCAGGAGGCUUUAUUCUGCUGAGAAAGAUGGCAAUCAGCAGCAAGAAAGGCAAUCCUGAAAACAUCUUAUACAAAAUUCAUGGGUUUAUUAAUUCAUAAUGUUAAAUGGUUUUGGCAGCUAACUAGUCACAGAAUUUCAUCAAAAUGUGCACUUAUAAACAAAGGGAAAGCAAUAGCUUUUCUUCAGCAACUUUGCUCUGAUACUUUUAGUCCUUCAGGUAAAAAAAAAGAAAAAGUAACAGUCUCAAUAUGGAAAUUUUCUAUUUCAGCAAACCAGAUUAUCAGAAAAUACCUUCAAAAUGGCCAGUGUGAGGCUUCCACCAAGAUUUAUCAACAAAUGAGGCAGAAAACACCCACAUUAUGGAACCAGAAAAAGUCUUCAAGAUUUUGCUGGAUUUGCAACGUGGCAAUUAUUCCCAGGGAAAUGAGCCCUCAGCCUUUGCCACAGAAUCCCAGCUUUUUUCUUUAUGCCUUUUAUAUGUUUCUGAAAGCAUCCUAA